GCCUCCCCGGGAGCCACUCACCUGUUUGCUUUCUCACCCAGUCCUCCUCAUGCAGAAGUACCGGCGGUGCGGCUUUCCGCGGCUGUGGGCAGCCAGUGCCUUCAAGGGUGCCACGGGGCCCAGCCAGGCCGUGCCCCCUGUUGAGCACCACCUCAGGAACCAUGUGCAGUGGCUGCAGGUGGCGGGCAGCGGGCCCACGGACUCACUGCAGGGCAUCAUCCUGACCGGCUGGCAGAGGUACGACCACUACUCUGUGCUGUGCGAGCUGCUGCCCGCAGGAGUCCCGUCCCUGGCCGCCUGCCUGCAGUUGCUUCUACGCGGUAUGUCUGGUCUGGCCACCCCAAGCCCCACCGGCCCCUCCCCGAAAGACCCGGAGGGCAGGAGGCCAAGCACCCAGUGCUCCAACCACCCUGCUGGACUGUGGUGGUCCUCACAGUCGGAGGAUGGUCUCACCGCCCCAGCUCAGCCACCCACCUGCCCUGAAGUCCACCCAGGCUGGGCCUGUGUCCGGGUCUCCAGGCCUAAGCCCAAAGCAGGCUGGAGAGUGACGCGGGAAGCACCCCUCAGACACAGUGAAUCCGCAGAAAUGCACGCAGGUCGGAGGUGGGGAGCGGCUCCACCUUUGCUGCACACACGUCCUGCCCACCUGGCUGAGCAGGUGUGGGGCUCAGGUGCUCGGCCCUGGAAGGCCCCGCACCCUGGACCCAGCACUCACACUUCCAGGUCUCCUGAGGGAGCAGCGGGACCCAUAGGCAGGGGCAGGCACCGGGGAACCCCUCGGGGUCGGCAGGGGGCUUGGCCAGAGGAGCUGUGUGUGUGGAAACUCGCAGGCCACACAGGAAAUUAGCGACUGCGUGGUGCUGACGCAGAAAGAAAAAUGGCCGAGACGCGCGGAGAGCGGGACCCGCAGGCGCGGUGGCCCAGGGACGGGGACGCGGCCGGUGAGAGGACGCAGAAUGAGAUCAGAUUGACUUCUCAGUUGCUGACUCUCAACUGCUUAGAAAGGGGCAGAAACAAUAAAAACAGACACCCAUGUGCCCCACACUAAAGAGCUGUGUUAAUAUUGACAGUAUUUGCAGUGUCCCUUGCCCACGGCCCCAUCCGCCACCCCUGUGACUGGGGCACUUCCCUCCUGCCCUCU
rnacentral:sRNA from 1 species